CAGAUACAGCAUCAUCGAUAUAGGAGGUAGCAACGCUCAGAGAGACGUGUUCAAUCAACUUCUUAUACACGCCGCAAUGAAGUCAGAUCUUUCAGAACAUCAGCGACUAGCGAGGUCGCUGUUGAUAGAA